UCAUAGGCUUGCCCUGGAAAAAGAAGAGAGUGACCUUUCCCCAUCUGGAGUAGAUGGAUUUGCCAUCAACAAUUGUAAAUGGAUGACUUAAUGAUGGGGUCUACGCUUAGAAUUUUGAAUUCUGUGAUUUCACCGCGUUUCCAGAGUUCUGCACAUGGUCUUUUCUGAACUGGUUGCAGAAGAGCUUCCAGAGGGGCUGCUGCUGCUGGUUAUUUCUUCUAAUUUGGAGUUUCCUAACACUGGGCUUGAGGAGUCUCUGUUGGCUGCCUCACACCAGGAUUUUGAGGAAAUUGUAUCCCACUUCAUCCAUAAGGACAUCAACCUCCAGCAUAAAAACAAUGUGCAGAUACUCAUGUUCUCCAGCUCUGAGCUGCUAUGAGUCUGCUGGGCGGAUCCUGCAAAGUGCUGAGUCCAUGGCUAACUUUAAGGGAGUAUAUCCUUAAAAUCACUGGGACUGCUGAUGUUUAAAAUUACACAGAGACUUAAGUACUCUGAUGGCCCCCAGCCAGUGGCUUUCAUAUCUUCUAGGACUGAGCCCUAAGGAGACACAGCGUAUGGCUGCAGCUGAAUUUCCUUUUCCCAUUUUAAAUAUAAGGUUUAAAGCCCAAAUUCUGACAGCUGUUUAAUUAAAGAUACUCAUUUUAACCGUGAGCAAUGUGAUAUGCAGCGUUGCUACGCCUGGAUUCUUUCUUUCUGCCUCUCCUGGCAUCCCAGCUCACUCCUCUCCAGCGUUAGUGCAGGGCUUGCAGUUUUCAGUGCUGCUCCGUUCCUGCUUUAUCCUCUUCCAUCUUUUC